rnacentral:rRNA from 1 species
GCCCUUCCAGACUCCUACGGGAGGCAGCAGUGAGGAAUAUUGGUCAAUGGGCGUGAGCCUGAACCAGCCAAGUAGCGUGCAGGAUGACGGCCCUAUGGGUUGUAAACUGCUUUUAUACGGGGAUAAAAGGGUGAACGUGUUCUCCUUUGCAGGUACCGUAUGAAUAAGGACCGGCUAAUUCCGUGCCAGCAGCCGCGGUAAUACGGAAGGUCCUGGCGUUAUCCGGAUUUAUUGGGUUUAAAGGGAGCGCAGGCUGCACUUUAAGCGUGUUGUGAAAUGUACCGGCUCAACCGGUAACGUGCAGCGCGAACUGGGGUGCUUGAGUACGAAGAGGGAAGGCGGAACUCGUGGUGUAGCGGUGAAAUGCUUAGAUAUCACGAGGAACUCCGAUCGCGAAGGCAGCUUUCCGUUUCGGAACUGACGCUGAGGCUCGAAAGUGCGGGUAUCGAACAGGAUUAGAUACCCUGGUAGUCCGCACGGUAAACGAUGGAUGCUCGCUGUUGGAUAUUUUUAUUCAGUGGCUAAGUGAAAACGUUAAGCAUCCCACCUGGGGAGUACGCCGGCAACGGUGAAACUCAAAGGAAUUGACGGGGGCCCGCACAAG